UAAACUCAAACACUAUUUUCUCUUUCGUCUAGUCCGUCACUCUACUAAACCCAAAUGGAAACUUGGUUCUUCAUCCUCCUCAUCGCUGUCUCCAUUUCCCUUAUUCUCAAAGCCUUCUUCAACCUCUUCUCUCCUCCCAAAAAGCUUACCCACACUCUCCCUCCAGGCCCUUCCACUUUCCCUAUCAUUGGCAACUUCUUAUGGCUCCGCAAAUCUUUCUUCGAAAUCGAGCCAAUACUCCGCAACCUUCGCAAAAAGUAUGGUUCCAUGGUCACUCUCUACAUUGGUCCUCGCCCCUCCAUCUUUGUCUCCGAUCAUUCCCUUGCUCACCAGGCGUUAGUCCAAAGCGGUUCACUGUUUUCCGACCGCCCCAAAGCUCUUCCUACUAG
rnacentral:lncRNA from 1 species